CCUUGAGGGCUGGCAGAUUUCCAGCCUCCAAGGAGCUGAGUGGGGCUGGGGAGAGUGGGGAACAGUGAUCAUGAUUGGAGAUAGGGUGCAGGGUAGUGGGAGCAGCAGCCCUGACAGCUGGAUAAACGUUCCACUCCAGCUGCGCCAGGCUCUUUCCUCUGUUCCAGCGACAGCAGCUGCCACCUCCCAUAUGUGGCAGCCAGGCCUCAGAGAAAACAAGGAUCCCUGAUUAUGACUGAUCCCAACUACAAGGAUAGCAACACAGAGGUUAGCAAACAAGUGCUCCAUCUGACCAGACUCCAGCAGAUGUACUAAAACAAUUGACUUCACUGCAAAAUAGCUUAAACUAUUCUGUGCCCUCCUUUGCUGCAAAAGGAAUAAUACUUAAUAUUCCAGCUGUGAGCUCCACCCCCUUCUUCACACGCCACCAGAAUUAUAGGUUUAUGGAUCUUUUGUUCAAUAAAGAAAAAGGAGUUCUUACCACUGA